rnacentral:tRNA from 1 species
GGGCAGGUGGUCGAGUGGUUGAAGGCACCUGGCUGUAAAUCAGGUCUGUAAAAAGCGUCGCAGGUUCAAAUCCUGCCCUGCCCACCA